rnacentral:rRNA from 1 species
GAUGAACGCUGGCGGCGUGCCUAAUACAUGCAAGUCGAGCGAACGGACGAGAAGCUUGCUUCUCUGAUGUUAGCGGCGGACGGGUGAGUAACACGUGGAUAACCUACCUAUAAGACUGGGAUAACUUCGGGAAACCGGAGCUAAUACCGGAUAAUAUUUUGAACCGCAUGGUUCAAAAGUGAAAGACGGUCUUGCUGUCACUUAUAGAUGGAUCCGCGCUGCAUUAGCUAGUUGGUAAGGUAACGGCUUACCAAGGCAACGAUGCAUAGCCGACCUGAGAGGGUGAUCGGCCACACUGGAACUGAGACACGGUCCAGACUCCUACGGGAGGCAGCAGUAGGGAAUCUUCCGCAAUGGGCGAAAGCCUGACGGAGCAACGCCGCGUGAGUGAUGAAGGUCUUCGGAUCGUAAAACUCUGUUAUUAGGGAAGAACAUAUGUGUAAGUAACUGUGCACAUCUUGACGGUACCUAAUCAGAAAGCCACGGCUAACUACGUGCCAGCAGCCGCGGUAAUACGUAGGUGGCAAGCGUUAUCCGGAAUUAUUGGGCGUAAAGCGCGCGUAGGCGGUUUUUUAAGUCUGAUGUGAAAGCCCACGGCUCAACCGUGGAGGGUCAUUGGAAACUGGAAAACUUGAGUGCAGAAGAGGAAAGUGGAAUUCCAUGUGUAGCGGUGAAAUGCGCAGAGAUAUGGAGGAACACCAGUGGCGAAGGCGACUUUCUGGUCUGUAACUGACGCUGAUGUGCGAAAGCGUGGGGAUCAAACAGGAUUAGAUACCCUGGUAGUCCACGCCGUAAACGAUGAGUGCUAAGUGUUAGGGGGUUUCCGCCCCUUAGUGCUGCAGCUAACGCAUUAAGCACUCCGCCUGGGGAGUACGACCGCAAGGUUGAAACUCAAAGGAAUUGACGGGGACCCGCACAAGCGGUGGAGCAUGUGGUUUAAUUCGAAGCAACGCGAAGAACCUUACCAAAUCUUGACAUCCUUUGACAACUCUAGAGAUAGAGCCUUCCCCUUCGGGGGACAAAGUGACAGGUGGUGCAUGGUUGUCGUCAGCUCGUGUCGUGAGAUGUUGGGUUAAGUCCCGCAACGAGCGCAACCCUUAAGCUUAGUUGCCAUCAUUAAGUUGGGCACUCUAAGUUGACUGCCGGUGACAAACCGGAGGAAGGUGGGGAUGACGUCAAAUCAUCAUGCCCCUUAUGAUUUGGGCUACACACGUGCUACAAUGGACAAUACAAAGGGCAGCGAAACCGCGAGGUCAAGCAAAUCCCAUAAAGUUGUUCUCAGUUCGGAUUGUAGUCUGCAACUCGACUACAUGAAGCUGGAAUCGCUAGUAGUCGUAGAUCAGCAUGCUACGGUGAAUACGUUCCCGGGUCU